AGGAAGAAAGUUGCCAGAAGGUUGAGUGAGUCACCCACAGUCAUAAAGCCGGGAGGGCCUGUCCAAAGAAUGGAAGCCUAACCCCCUUCUGACAUGGUUAUCCAUGGCUCAGAACAUGAAGUCUCAUACAAAGCAAAUCCUGAUUUGAAUAAGAGCUUCACGACACUCUGGUUAUAUUACCUCCUCUUCAACGUUUCACCUACUCUUUCUCAAAUCUUGCCUGAAGAUCUUUGCAAAGGCCGUUCCCUCUGCCUGGGAAAUGUUCUUCCUCCUUUUCUGGGUUACAUAAGACUGCAACUUCCAUCUUGCUGAUCACCUUCUCACCUUAUAUGCUUUGAUGAAGCAAGUUCACAUGUUGGAAAAGCUCAAGGAAUUGAAUCCUGGCAACAACCACAUGAGUCUGGGAAUGGAUGCUUCACCCAGUCAACCUUCAGAUGAGAUCCCUGCCCUGGCCAACACCUUGAUUACAGCCUUGUGAGAGACCCUGAAGCUGAAGAAGCCAUGAAAGUACUGGACACCUGAUGGAAAGGGUCAUGGUCAAGGGAAUAAAGGACCUAGAGGAAUAAGGACUGGAGACAAAAGAGCAAAAUGUUGCAUAUGAUUACCUUUGCAGCCCAAGCAUGAAGGGUAAAGAAUAUUCAAAACUGAAUGAGACUGGCAAAAAGCACCCAAGAGAUCAGCUGAGAUGCUAACAGAAGCAGAGAAUGUGAGACGCAGGGGAGCUAAGUUUCUUAGAGCCUUCCAGCAGCAGAUAACAGUGCAACUGGAGAUCAAGUUUUCUGUCACACGGACCCUCAGAGGCUCAUUUCUGGGUCGGCACACAGGAGUUUACUCUCCUGUCACUGCUUCUUUCAAAGAUUACAUUCUGGUUCCUUUUUUUGUUUGUUUGUUUGUUUGAGGAAACUUGAUUGAAAUGUAGCCUACAUACAGAAAUAUGUCCAUAAGUGGACAGCUCAGUGCGUCUAUAUCCAUGUAAACAACAUCCAGACAAAGAAUUAGUACAUCACCAGCACCCCUGAAGCCCUCCUGCCCCUCCCAGUUGCUAAGGCCAACAAAGGAACCACUAUCCUGACUUCUAACAUCACAGAUUGGUUUUGCCUGUUUCUGAGCUUGAUAUAAAUGGGA